rnacentral:rRNA from 1 species
GACGAACGCUGGCGGCGUGCUUAACACAUGCAAGUCGAACGGAAAGGCCCUGCUUUUGUGGGGUGCUCGAGUGGCGAACGGGUGAGUAACACGUGAGUAACCUGCCCUUGACUUUGGGAUAACUUCAGGAAACUGGGGCUAAUACCGGAUAGGAGCUCCUGCUGCAUGGUGGGGGUUGGAAAGUUUCGGCGGUUGGGGAUGGACUCGCGGCUUAUCAGCUUGUUGGUGGGGUAGUGGCUUACCAAGGCUUUGACGGGUAGCCGGCCUGAGAGGGUGACCGGCCACAUUGGGACUGAGAGACGGACCAGACUCGUACGGGAGGCAGCAGUGGGGAAUCUUGCACAGUGGGCGGAAGCCUGAUGCAGCAACGCCGCGUGCGGGAUGACGGCCUUCGGGUUGUAAACCGCUUUCGCCUGUGACGAAGCGUGAGUGACGGUAAUGGGUAAAGAAGCACCGGCUAACUACGUG